CAACUUUCAGCAACGGAUCUCUUGGCUCUCGCAUCGAUGAAGAACGCAGCGAAAUGCGAUAAGUAAUGUGAAUUGCAGAAUUCAGUGAAUCAUCGAAUCUUUGAACGCACCUUGCGCCCCUUGGUAUUCCGAGGGGCACGCCUGUUUG
rnacentral:rRNA from 1 species